rnacentral:rRNA from 1 species
GAUGAACGCUGGCGGCGUGCCUAAUACAUGCAAGUCGAGCGAACAGACGAGGAGCUUGCUCCUCUGACGUUAGCGGCGGACGGGUGAGUAACACGUGGAUAACCUACCUAUAAGACUGGGAUAACUUCGGGAAACCGGCGCUAAUCCCGGAUAAUAUAUUGAACCACAUUGUUCAAUAGUGAAAGACGGUUGUGGUGUCUCUUCUAGAUGGAUCCGCGCCGCAUUAGCUAGUUGGGAAGGUAACGGCUUAUCAAGGCAACGAGGCGUAGACGACCUGAGAGAGUGAUCGGCCACACGGGAACUGAGACAGGGUCCAGAGUCCUACGGGAGGCAGCAGUAGGGAAUCUUACGCAAUAGGCGAAAGCCUGACGGAGCAACGCCGCGUGAGUGAUGAAGGUCUUCCGAGCGUAAAACUCUGUUAUGAGGGAAGAACAAAUGUGUAAGUAACUAUGCCCGUCUUGACGGUACCGAAUCAGAAAGCCACGGCUAACUACGUG